rnacentral:rRNA from 1 species
AUUCUUCGGAUGAUUUCCUAUUUGACUGAGCGGCGGACGGGUGAGUAACGCGUGGGUAACCUGCCUCAUACAGGGGGAUAACAGUUAGAAAUGACUGCUAAUACCGCAUAAGACCACAGCACCGCAUGGUGCAGUGUGAAAAACUCCGGUGGUAUAAGAUGGACCCGCGUUGGAUUAGCUAGUUGGUGAGGUAACGGCCCACCAAGGCGACGAUCCAUAGCCGACCUGAGAGGGUGACCGGCCACAUUGGAACUGAGAGACGGUCCAGACUCC